rnacentral:rRNA from 1 species
UCAGCAGUCAAGGAAUAUUAGUCAAUGCGCGCGAUUAUGAACUAGCUACCUGGCAUUAUUCUCACCUGGGGGACUGGGAAAUGAUGUAAUAACGUAGAGGGAAAAUAAUGAUAUGCCCUACUACUACUAGUGCUGUCCAAAGCUGGUGCCAGAAGACUCGGUAAGGCCAGAAGCACAAACGUUAGUCGUAAUAAUCAGGCGUAAAGGGUGUGUAGGCUGCUUUUUAAAACAUUUCUUUUUAAAUUAACUACGGUAAUAGAAAUAUACUGAUUAAAAAGAAAGGUGACUAGAAGCUAGAAUCAUAACGAGGUUAAACCGAAUAAUACUUAGUGUAGGGAUCAAAUCUUCAAAGACUAAGGGGAAUACUUAAAGGUGUAAGCUUUUUUCCACUAAUGAUUGACGCUGAGACACGAAGGUGAGGAAAGGAAAUAGGAUUAGAUACCCAAACUACCCCUUACUGUCAACGAUGAAUGGUAACUUGUUAGUUUUUAAAAUUAGCAUUGAUGUUAACGCGAUAACCAUUCCGCCUUGCGAGUACGGUUGCAAAACUGAAACCAAAAAAAUUAGUCGGUCUCGAAGCAAACGAAGUGAAGCAUGUUAUUUAAUUCCGAUAAUCCGCAA